rnacentral:rRNA from 1 species
GACGAACGCUGGCGGCGUGCUUAACACAUGCAAGUCGAACGGAAAGGCCCUGCUUUUGUGGUGUGCUCGAGUGGCGAACGGGUGAGUAACACGUGAGUAACCUGCCCUUGACUUUGGGAUAGCUUCAGGAAACUGGGGCUAAUACCGGAUAGGAUCUCCUGCUGCAUGGUGGGGGUUGGAUAGUUUCGGCGGUUGGGGAUGGACUCGCGGCUUAUCAGCUUGUUGGUGGGGUAGUGGCUUACCAAGGCUUUGACGGGUAGCCGGCCUGAGAGGGGGACCGGCGACAUUGGGACUGAGAUACGGCCCAGACUCCUACGGGAGGCAGCAGUGGGGAGUAUUGCACAAUGGGCGGAAGCCUGAUGCAGCAACGCCGCGUGCGGGAUGACGGCCUUCGGGUUGUAAACCGCUUUCGCCUGUGACGAAGCGUGAGUGACGGUAAUGGGUAAAGAAGCACCGGAUAACUACGUG